UUAGCCCCUAAACAUAACACCCCUAUAGCUUUUACCCUCCUAGGAUUGGUCAAGGAGCGUUGACCUCCCUGAACUCUCGAAACAAGGGUGCAAAUAACACCCCGUGUUAAACGCCUGUUUAACGCCGUUUAACUUUAAUUUUUUUUUCUUAAUUAGUCAUCUUCUCCGCCUGAAUUUCUUCAAUUUUCCGGCGAAACCAUCCCACUCCAGCAAAUCGGAUCUCGACAUGUCGAUGUACCUAUCCUUGGCGAUCUUGGGCAAUCUCCUGUGAUUCCGAUCUACAAAAUCUCCGAGUACCAGUUGUCUUCGCCAUCCCGAGUAUAUUUUCCCAAAUUGGCAAGCUAAUGGUGUACUGUUCUGCCAAUCCAGCAAUCAGCCUCCCUCUUACCUAGAAGCUAAGUCCAAAAUCCCUUGGCUAUUCUAUUUCUUCAAAUACAAAAGAUGCUUCAAUAUUUUUGAUAUCGGAUAAUGUUCGAUGUUGUUGCCGUAGGCCCAAACAGUGAAAAAAUGAAAUACAGCCUGAUCUAUCGGGGGCGCUUAUAGCCCCGACAAUUUACAAUGGAAGGCCAGAGAAGUUAACCAAUUUAUGAGACAAAUUGGUAUUUCUCUGAUUUUUGUUUCAAUUGCACUCGCCUGCUCACAUUUGCGAAUUGCUUCAAUUCCCCUUAUUCUGUAAAAUAAUAAUAAUAAUAAUAAUAAUAAUAAUUAUAUUGAGAGAAGAUUUACUAGUAUGAACGACCAUGGAUGCUGGAAACUGGAAGAAAAAAAGGACAUGGUUGGGGCUCGAUUAAGGCUUGAUUUUACAAGUAGAGUGUACCUGGAAUUGAGAAAUUGAGCGGGGUGAAGGAGGAGAUAGGAGCAGACGAAGGGAGCGACGCCAACGGCCGGGCGCGGCCUCGCCGGACUCAGCCGCGACGGCUACCAGAUGAGAGAAAGAAGAUGACGCUUAGAAAAAAAAAUUAAACAGACGCCGUUUAACGGAGGGUGUUAAUUGCACCCUUGUUUCGAGAGUUCAGGGAGGUCAACGCGCCUUGACC
rnacentral:lncRNA from 1 species